AGAUUAAGUUAUUAAGGGCGCACGGUGGAUGCCUUGGCACUAGAAGCCGAUGAAGGACGUUACUAACGACGAUAUGCUUUGGGGAGCUGUAAGUAAGCUUUGAUCCAGAGAUUUCCGAAUGGGGAAACCCAGCAUGAGUUAUGUCAUGUUAUCGAUAUGUGAAUACAUAGCAUAUCAGAAGGCACACCCGGAGAACUGAAACAUCUUAGUACCCGGAGGAAGAGAAAGAAAAUUCGAUUCCCUUAGUAGCGGCGAGCGAAACGGGAAGAGCCCAAACCAACAAGCUUGCUUGUUGGGGUUGUAGGACACUCUAUACGGAGUUACAAAGGACGACAUUAGACGAAUCAUCUGGAAAGAUGAAUCAAAGAAGGUAAUAAUCCUGUAGUCGAAAAUGUUGUCUCUCUUGAGUGGAUCCUGAGUACGACGGAGCACGUGAAAUUCCGUCGGAAUCUGGGAGGACCAUCUCCUAAGGCUAAAUACUCUCUAGUGACCGAUAGUGAACCAGUACCGUGAGGGAAAGGUGAAAAGCACCCCGGAAGGGGAGUGAAAUAGAACCUGAAACCGUGUGCUUACAAGUAGUCAGAGCCCGUUAAUGGGUGAUGGCGUGCCUUUUGUAGAAUGAACCGGCGAGUUACGAUUUGAUGCAAGGUUAAGCAGUAAAUGUGGAGCCGUAGCGAAAGCGAGUCUGAAUAGGGCGUUUAGUAUUUGGUCGUAGACCCGAAACCAGGUGAUCUACCCUUGGUCAGGUUGAAGUUCAGGUAACACUGAAUGGAGGACCGAACCGACUUACGUUGAAAAGUGAGCGGAUGAACUGAGGGUAGCGGAGAAAUUCCAAUCGAACCUGGAGAUAGCUGGUUCUCUCCGAAAUAGCUUUAGGGCUAGCCUCAAGUGAUGAUUAUUGGAGGUAGAGCACUGUUUGGACGAGGGGCCCCUCUCGGGUUACCGAAUUCAGACAAACUCCGAAUGCCAAUUAAUUUAACUUGGGAGUCAGAACAUGGGUGAUAAGGUCCGUGUUCGAAAGGGAAACAGCCCAGACCACCAGCUAAGGUCCCAAAAUAUAUGUUAAGUGGAAAAGGAUGUGGCGUUGCCCAGACAACUAGGAUGUUGGCUUAGAAGCAGCCAUCAUUUAAAGAGUGCGUAAUAGCUCACUAGUCGAGUGACACUGCGCCGAAAAUGUACCGGGGCUAAACAUAUUACCGAAGCUGUGGAUUGUCCUUUGGACAAUGGUAGGAGAGCGUUCUAAGGGCGUUGAAGCAUGAUCGUAAGGACAUGUGGAGCGCUUAGAAGUGAGAAUGCCGGUGUGAGU
rnacentral:rRNA from 1 species